rnacentral:rRNA from 1 species
AUGGGCGCUUGCGACAAUGGCACGCCAAACCGCCAAGCCAAGGCGUCUCUCACCAUGCUUGUUACGUGGACCGUCUGGAAUGAGCGAAACGCAAGGGUCUUCAAGCACAAGAGCGCCCCUCCACCUGCAUUGCUUGACUCCAUCAAUACUGAGGCCCACCUUUGGGUCAUCGCCGGUGCAAAAAAAUUAGGGUCUCUUAUUUUGCGAGAGUGA